GAUGAAGAACGCAGCGAAAUGCGAUAAGUAAUGCGAAUUGCAGAAUUUCGGUGAGUCAUCGAAUCUUUGAACGCACAUUGCGCCCACUGGUAUUCCGGUGGGCAUGCCUGUUCGAGCGUCAUUAUCCUCCCUCAAACCUCGGGUUUGGUGUUGGACCCAAGUUGUGUGAACAACUGGUCUCAAAGACAAUGACGGCGUCCGUGGGACCCUCGGUGCAACGAGCUUUUAAACGAGCACGCGUCGAGUUUCAAGGACCUUCCGGGCCGGUCUACUUUUACAUCUUCUGAAAGUUGACCUCGGAUCAGGUAGGAAUACCCGCUGAACUUAAGCAUAUCAAUAAGCGGAGGA
rnacentral:misc_RNA from 1 species